CAUCCGGGUGCGGCAGCGGGCGGGGCCGCGCGGCGCCCCUGGGGAGCUGGCCCGGGAAUGGGAAUGGGAACGGGGUUUGGAUCGGUGGAUCUGCCCGCCUGUGGCUCCCAUCUGGGCGCAUACCUGUGUCCCCGGCUGUAGCUGACGCUGCGGUGGCAGAGGGGUUGGACUAGAGGUCCCUUGCAGUUCUGUGAUUGUGUGGGGGAGAGCAUAAAAGCUAGCAGGGCUCGGCCAGAGCCGCGUGGUUAAUGGCCUGAAGUUGUGUCAGGGCAAAUUUAGGCUGGAUAUUAGGUACUAGGAAAAGAUUCGUCACCCUGAGGGCGAAGAAGAGGGUUGGGCACUGGAACAGACUCCCUAGGGAAGUGGUCACAGCACCAAGCCUGACAGAGUUCAGGGAAUGUUUGGGCAAUGCUCUCAGGCACAUGGUGUGAUACUGGGGCUGUCCUGUGUAGGGCUGGUAGUUUGGCUUUAUGAUCCUUAUGGGUCCUUCCAGCUGUGGGUAUUUUGUGUUUCUGUUCCCUGCAGGCGAUUGUUCCCUGCUUUCCCCUCGCACACCCUCCAUGAAUUCUGGUUUUAGGCUGAGGGGCACAAAACACGAGCACAUGGGACUCACCUGGUGCCCAGGAACACAGCAGCCCGAGCCCACAGCUGCAGAGGCAGGCGGGGUUUGCUGCUGAAACUGGCUGAACUUGCUGGAAUUGUUUGGCCUGGCUUUGCUACCUGAACCAAAUUGCCGCCCGAAGAGAUCUUGGAAUCACAGGGUGGUUUGGGUUGGAGGGGACCCUAAAGAUCAUCUUGUUCCAAUGCUCCUGCCCAUGAGCAGUGACACCUUUGACUAGACCAGGUUGUUCAAGCCUCACCCAGCCUGGCCUUGAACACUUCCAGGAAUGGAACACCUACAGCUUCUCUGGGCAGCUUGUGCCAGUGUCUCACUACCCUCACAGUAAAUAAUUCCCUUCCAGUAUCUAAUGUACCCUCUUUCAGUUUAAAGUCAUUCCCUCUUGUCCUGUCACUCCUUGUGAGUGGGCCUUGUCAGAAGUGAAAUAAAUGGGCAGGAGAUCUUUCUCCUUUUUAAUGCCUUUAUUAAGAAGAAUCACCUCAGGUGGGGAGAAAUCGACGGGUCGCGCCCACGCCACCGCUGCUCCCAGGCGUGGCACGGAGGAGGAGGGUGAUGCAGCUUUGUCCGCUGGUCUGCAGGCAGAGCUGGGGAUUCCGUCCUCACAGGAGAUCAGCAGAUUCCAGCUUUUUUGUCUAACACCUUGGGGCGUCUCUUUAAUCAGUAUCUUUUCAGGUUAGGGUGAGAAGCAAAAAGGAUCCAAGCAGGUACUGGACUACCCUCCCAUCCUUAGAUGUCACUUAGGUCACUUGUUGGCUCGUAAUUUUAGGGGUUUUUCCUGGGAAAACUGUAAAAAUUCGGGGCGCAGUGCAUUUCUUAUCUGCAUACUGGCUCUGAUGUCACUCCCAUUCUCCUCGUACCUGGAGGGUCUGUCCUGGUGUCCCUCCCUGGCAAGCAGCCAGCAUCAAGGGGACAAUGGUUUAUCACCAGCCAUUAACAGAAGUGCAGCAUUGGCUAUAUAAAAACGGAAAGGAGGAGUGAAGCCGGUGUGACCAUUGCCUGGGGCUUCUGUGAGCUCACUACUCGCUGUAGCCCAGCUGCAGGCAGGAAAAGAGUGAAGAACAGCAGUGGCCUCUGGUGGCUGUAGGAUAGUUCUGUGCUAAAAUACAAAGAUCGCCGGUCGUUUUAGCAGUGAACUGCAACCUACAAGUACAUGAAACAAAGUGACAGCUUUUUGCGUGAUUUCAGAAAGGCCCCAGGGAUAGGAAUCAAAACUGAAGAAAUUGAACCGGAUCGGCAUCUGGAAAAAACUUUGCACAACCUCAUUAUCUUACAUAUUUCUCCUGAUUUUAUUCUGACUUUGUUGUCAAGCAUGCCUGUAUUUUUUUGUUGAGGUCAUCUGCUUUAGGACUAAGAACCUUCAGUUUUGAGCUGAUGCACACUUUACAGGAAUGUGAGACUGUGUGUGCAGGCACUUUCUGUCUGUACAGAUAGCUAAUGAAAACCUUUUAAUGCAAAAGCCAACUUUCAUUUCUAUUUUAGCUUUUCAACAUUAUUGUUCCCUGCAUGUCUUUCAGCGUUCAGCAGUAGUACAUACAAUUGUGUUUAAUUUUGUACUGCAAAAGUCUGUUCGUUAUCUGUUCCAAAUUUAUAUGGUAUGUUUGUCAUUGCCUAUCAGUGUUCUAACACUUCUGCAUCACUCAUUCUGUAUAAAACUAGCUCUGCAUAAAAGCAGAAUAGACAUAAUUUUUUUCUUCAGAGCCUUAAGAAGCUUGUGGUACUGGGAGACAAGUAGUUUAUGAAGAGUGUAUGGAAUAUGUAUUGAAGAGGAAAUAAACAUUUUUAUUAAUAAGGAAAUUCAGUGGUAUAUCCUAUGCCUAACUUUACAGACAUUUUUAAGCCGUCUAAUCUCUGUGUAAUUUUCCUUCUUUGUCUGUGUGAUUGACAAUGGUAUUUUUCCUCUGCACUUUGCAGCUCCUGAAAGAAAUGUACUGCAUGCAUUGCUAUAACUUCUGUGCUACUUGUCAGUGAUUCUGUUGUCUGCAUUUGCAGAAGUGCUGAUAUUUCAAAAUAUUUCAAAAUUUUUUGUAUUUUGUAAAUAAUAAAAUCACCAAUUACAGUA